GUUAACGCCUAGGAUUUUUGUUAAAAGAAAACUAGGGAAAGCAAGCUUUUGGUGAGCUUGGCUAUGGAAGAGUGAGGGAGAGCUUUGGGACGUUUUUUGAAGAAGGGAGAGGCUGCUGGUUUGUUCUAGAUUUCUGCCCUUUUUUUUCUAUUUUUAAUGUAUUAUAAUUGUCUUGCUUUAAUUUGAUUGGCCAUAGCAUUUUUAAUUACCUCAUGCUUACAUAAGCAUGAAGUAAUAAAUCCCAUAAUUUUCAUUUUGU
rnacentral:misc_RNA from 1 species